rnacentral:rRNA from 1 species
CAGAGAAAUUUGGAUUAAUACCCUAUAGUAUCAUUUAGAGUCAUCUCUUAAUGAUUAAAGGCUACGGUAUGAGAUGAGUAUGCGUUCUAUUAGUUAGUAGGUGAGGUAACGGCUCACCUAGACCACGAUAGAUAGGGGCCCUGAGAGGGGGAUCCCCCACACUGGUACUGAGACACGGACCAGACUCCUACGGGAGGCAGCAGUGAGGAAUAUUAGACAAUGGGCGAAAGCCUGAUCUAGCCAUGCCGCGUGCAGGAUGACGGCCCUAUGGGUUGUAAACUGCUUUUAUACAGGAAGAAAAAACUCUACGUGUAGAGUCUUGACGGUACUGUAAGAAUAAGGAUCGGCUAACUCCGUGCCAGCAGCCGCGGUAAUACGGAGGAUCCAAGCGUUAUCCGGAAUUAUUGGGUUUAAAGGGUCCGUAGGUGGACAAUUAAGUCAGAGGUGAAAUCCUGCAGCUCAACUGUAGAAUUGCCUUUGAAACUGGUUGUCUUGAGUCAUUAUGAAGUGGUUAGAAUGUGUAGUGUAGCGGUGAAAUGCAUAGAUAUUACACAGAAUACCAAUUGCGAAGGCAGAUCACUAAUAAUGUACUGACACUGAUGGACGAAAGCGUGGGUAGCGAACAGGAUUAGAUACCCUGGUAGUCCACGCCGUAAACGAUGGUCACUAGCUGUUCGGACUUCGGUCUGAGUGGCUAAGCGAAAGUGAUAAGUGACCCACCUGGGG